UUUAAAUAUAGUAAUGAGUUUUUUUACCUUUAACUGUUCAUCUUAUUUAAAAUAUUUUCAUGAUCAAUAUUUUUAUUGUUAUUUGAUGAUAAAAUAUAAAUAUUAUUUUAUAUGUGACUUUUUUAAAAUAUAUUUUUAUAAAUUUUUCAAAUAAGAUAGAUGAUUAAAUAUUAGACACAACCUACAACUGUAUUUAAA
rfam:Oryza sativa Japonica Group DNA, chromosome 6, cultivar: Nipponbare, complete sequence.